rnacentral:rRNA from 1 species
GAUGAACGCUGGCGGCGUGCCUAAUACAUGCAAGUCGAACGAGGUGCUUGAGUAGCAAUACAAGAGUAUCCUAGUGGCGAACGGGUGAGUAACGCGUGGGUGACCUGCCCCGAAGUGUGGGAUAACAGUCCGAAAGGAUUGCUAAUACCUCAUGUGGUUAUCGGAUUUAGAAACUGAUAACUAAAGCAGCAAUGCGCUUUGGGAGGGACCUGCGUCCCAUCAGCUAGUUGGUGAGGUAAUGGCUCACCAAGGCUACGACGGGUAGGGGACCUGAGAGGGUGGCCCCCCANAAUGGAACUGAAACACGGUCCAUACACCUACGGGUGGCAGCAGUAGGGAAUAUUGCACAAUGGGCGAAAGCCUGAUGCAGCAACGCCGCGUGUGCGAUGAAGGCCUUGGGUCGUAAAGCACUUUCUGAGAGAUGAGAAAGGACAGUAUCUCAGGAAUAAGUCUCGGCUAACUACGUGCCAGCAGCCGCGGU